CCUACGGGUGGCAGCAGUCGAGAAUCAUUCACAAUGGGGGAAACCCUGAUGGUGCGACGCCGCGUGGGGGAAUGAAGGUCUUCGGAUUGUAAACCCCUGUCAUGUGGGAGCAAAUUAAAAAGAUAGUACCACAAGAGGAAGAGACGGCUAACUCUGUGCCAGCAGCCGCGGUAAUACAGAGGUCUCAAGCGUUGUUCGGAAUCACUGGGCGUAAAGCGUGCGUAGGCUGUUUCGUAAGUCGUGUGUGAAAGGCGCGGGCUCAACCCGCGGACGGCACAUGAUACUGCGAGACUAGAGUAAGGGAGGGGGAACCGGAAUUCUCGGUGUAGCAGUGAAAUGCGUAGAUAUCGAGAGGAACACUCGUGGCGAAGGCGGGUUCCUGGACAUUAACUGACGCUGAGGCACGAAGGCCAGGGGAGCGAAAGGGAUUAGAUAUCCCUGUAGUC
rnacentral:rRNA from 1 species